GACGAACGCUGGCGGCGUGCUUAACACAUGCAAGUCGAACGGAAAGGCCCUGCGCUUGCGGGGUGCUCGUGAGGCGAACGGGGGUGAGACACGCGAGUAUACCGUCCCUGUCAUUCUGGUAUCAUCAGGAGACAGGGGCUCUUAUACGGUAUGAGAUCUUGCACCGCGUGGUGGGUUGGAGAGAUUGGGUGGUUGUGUAUGGACUGGCGGCUUACCAGCUGGUUGGUGGGGUAGGGGCUGACCAAGGCUUGGACGGGUAGCCGGCCUGAGAGGGUGACCGGCCACACUGGGACUGAGAGACGGCCCAGACUCCUACGGGAGGCAGCAGUGGGGAAUAUUGCACAAUGGGCGGAAGCCUGAUGCAGCGACGCCGCGUGCGGGAUGACGGCCUUCGGGUUGUAAACCGCUUUCGGCUGGGAAGAAGCGAGAGUGACGGUACGGGGUAAAGAAGCGCCGGCUAACUACGUG
rnacentral:rRNA from 1 species